rnacentral:ribozyme from 14 species
UUCAUUUUUGUUGAGCACUCCUUUUUCUUAUUUCAUUCAUUUCCCAGCUUCUGUGAUUUGGUUUAUCAUUCACUUAUAGGCAGCCUGAAGAAGGCCAGUGGGAGAAGGAGCAGAGCCACCGGCGUGGCUUUUGGUAGCCGAAAUGCAACAUAUAGUUGUCAUGGAGUUAUUAUAUAUUAUAUAAUGAUUUAAAUAAUACCUUUGAAAAAAAAA